rnacentral:rRNA from 1 species
CCUACGGGAGGCAGCAGUGAGGAAUAUUGGUCAAUGGACGAGAGUCUGAACCAGCCAAGUAGCGUGAAGGAUGACUGCCCUAUGGGUUGUAAACUUCUUUUAUCAAGGAAUAAAACGAGGCACGUGUGCCUUUUUGCAUGUACUUUAUGAAUAAGGAUCGGCUAACUCCGUGCCAGCAGCCGCGGUAAUACGGAGGAUCCGAGCGUUAUCCGGAUUUAUUGGGUUUAAAGGGAGCGUAGAUGGGUUGUUAAGUCAGGUGUGAAAGUUUGCGGCUCAACCGUAAAAUUGCAGUUGAUACUGGCAGUCUUGAGUACAGUUGAGGUAAGCGGAAUUCGUGGUGUAGCGGUGAAAUGCUUAGAUAUCACGAAGAACCCCGAUUGCGAAGGCAGCAUACUAAACUGUGACUGACAUUGAUGCUCGAAAGUGUGGGUAUCAAACAGGAUUAGAUACCCUUGUAGUC